rnacentral:rRNA from 1 species
UACGUAGGUGGCAAGCGUUGUCCGGAAUUAUUGGGCGUAAAGGGCUCGUAGGCGGUUUGUCGCAUCGGGAGUGAAAACACCGGGCUUAACUCGGUGCUUGCUUUCGAUACGGGCAGACUAGAGGCAUGCAGGGGAGAACGGAAUUCCUGGUGUAGCGGUGAAAUGCGCAGAUAUCAGGAGGAACACCGGUGGCGAAGGCGGUUCUCUGGGCAUGUCCUGACGCUGAGGUGCGAAAGCGUGGGGGAGCAAACAGG